GUAGGGUCCAAGCGUUAUCCGGGAAUCAUUGGGGCGUAAAGAGCUCGUAGGCGGUUCAGCAAGUCGGCUGUGAAAGUCCGAGGGCUCAACCUCGGAAUUGCAGUCGAUACUGCUGUGACUUGAAUUCGGUAGGGGAGAACGGAAUUCCACGUGUAGCGGUGAAAUGCGCAGAUAUGUGGAGGAACACCAGUAGCGAAGGCGGUUCUCUGGGCCGAAAUUGACGCUGAGGAGCGAAAGCGUGGGGAGCAAACAGGAUUAGAUACCCUGGUAGUCCACGCCGUAAACGUUGGAUACUAGGUGUGGCGGUCUUACCAAUGACUGCCGUGCCGAAGCUAACGCAUUAAGUAUCCCGCCUGGGGAGUACGGCCGCAAAGGCUA
rnacentral:rRNA from 1 species